AUUGAACGCUGGCGGCAGGCCUAACACAUGCAAGUCGGGCGAGCGGAGGACGGGUGAGCAAUGUAUGGGGAUCUGCCUGAUGGAGGGGGCUAACUCCUGGAAACGGUAGAUAAUACUGCAUACCAUCAGAUGAACCCUUAGGGGAUUAGCUUGUCGGUAAGGUAACGGCGUACCUAGGCGACGAUCCCUAGCUGGUCUGAGAGGAUGAUCAGCCACACUGGGACUGAGACACGGCCCAGACUCCUACGGGAGGCAGCAGUGGGGAAUAUUGCACAAUGGGCGCAAGCCUGAUGCAGCCAUGCCGCGUGUAUGAAGAAGGCCUUCGGGUUGUAAAGUACUUUCAGUCGGGAGGCGUUACCGACAGAAGAAGCACCGGCUAACUCCGUGCCAGCAGCCGCGGUAAUAC
rnacentral:rRNA from 1 species